rnacentral:snoRNA from 1 species
GCCUUGGACGAGGAAGAGGUGAUCUCCCACAUCCUUGCUGGACUGGAUGAGGAGUACGACCCAGUGGUGUCGGCCAUGUGUUCCAGGGUCGAACCUGUCAAGUCCCGGAGCUGUUCUCACAGCUUCUGAGUUUUGAGA